GCCUACGGGACGCAGCAGUGAGGAAUAUUGGUCAAUGGUCGGGAGACUGAACCAGCCAAGCCGCGUGAGGGAUGAAGGUACAGAGUAUCGUAAACCUCUUUUGUCAGGGAACAAAGGCGGGGACGUGUCCCCGGAUGAGUGUACCUGAAGAAAAAGCAUCGGCUAACUCCGUGCCAGCAGCCGCGGUAAUACGGAGGAUGCGAGCGUUAUCCGGAUUUAUUGGGUUUAAAGGGUGCGUAGGCGGACUGUCAAGUCAGCGGUAAAAUACGGGGGCUCAACCUCCGCCCGCCGUUGAAACUGACGGG
rnacentral:rRNA from 1 species